AAGACACGAUUUUCACUGUUUAAUGAUGCAUUUGAAAUAAUGUAGCAAAUCAAAUCUGUACUCAAUGUGACUGUUGAGUGCUGUUAUUCUCUAGGUAUAUUAUCAGAGCAUUGUAAAGGAAGAGCAUUUCUCUGCGAACUCAUGGAAAAACAGUGGGGUUUUUUUUCUUGGCCAGAUUCCCCAAAGAGAAUUGAAUUUCAAGUGAGCGGUGGGAACUGACACAGAAAAUGACAUUUUUUCUUACCAGGCCAUCAGGUGGGUAAUGGCAUAUUUUCCUUACCUUUCAAACUUAUAAAAUUCUCAGUUUUCUUAACUACUGGCAGGUCUGAGCUAUUGCCUUCAUUCUGUGCAUCUUCAGACUAACUGGGAAAGAUGACCUUGACCUUCUCUUUGAAAUAUUUCCAGAACUGCCUUGACUGAGAUGUCAAAUCAAGGAACCCUUCUGAGGAAAAUUUUCAAUUGAGUGAGCAAAUUAAAUAGUAUGCAGUGCAUAUUUAUAAGCUGG
rnacentral:lncRNA from 1 species